GAUAUAGACCAGGUUUUGGCAAAGCUGUUUUGUAAUAGGUCAGAUAGUAAAUAUUUUCAGCUUUAUGUGCCACAGGGCCUCUGCUGCAUUUACUCGACUCUGCCAUUGUCACACAAAAGCAGCCAUAGAGGUAGUAAAUUAAUGGGUGUGGCUCUCUUUAAUAACACUUUUUUUUUAAUUUGUUUACAGAUACAGGCUGUGGGCCAGAUUUCACCAGCAAACCAGUUCCGUUUUAUGCUUUCAUUGGGGAUCUUUUAUAAUAAAGGUUUUCUGCCUCCAAAGGGUCUGCAUGUUGAAUCCAGAAUACUGGAGAACUGAAUCUCAUCCUUAUACUAGAAUAUAGCCAGGCUCUUGAGCCACUUUGCUCCAAAAUUGAACCCAGGAAAGGGUGCUAAGAAGAAGAGUUUUAAGUGGUCAGGAGUAAUAAGUAGACUAUUGGACUAAUUCCAGCAUGGAAGCCCUACGAAAACUCUCCAAGGCAGGCUUGGUGAAUACACUUCCUGAUUAAAAAAGAAGUGAAGCCAUAACUGUGUCUAUAAGUCAGUAUCUUAAUUGAUACAAGGUGUGAUAA